rnacentral:rRNA from 1 species
UACGUAGGGGGCAAGCGUUGUCCGGAAUCAUUGGGCGUAAAGAGCGCGUAGGCGGCCCUGUAAGUCCGCUGUGAAAGUCAAGGGCUCAACCCUUGGAUGCCGGUGGAUACUGCAGGGCUAGAGUCCGGAAGAGGCGAGUGGAAUUCCUGGUGUAGCGGUGAAAUGCGCAGAUAGUCAGGAGGAACACCGGUGGCGAAGGCGGAUCUCUGGGCCGAUACUGACGCUGAGGAGCGAAAGCGUGGGGGAGCGAACAGG